CCCUUCGGGGCUCUGUGGUGAUUCAUAAUAACUGGUCGAAUCGCAUGGCCUUGCGCCGGCGAUGGUUCAUUCAAAUUUCUUCCCUAUCAACUUUCGAUGCGAGGGUCUUGUCCUCGCAUGGUUGCAACGGGUAACGGAGGGUUAGGGCUCGACCCCGGAGAAGGAGCCUGAGAAACGGCUACUACAUCCAAGGAAGGCAGCAGGCGCGCAAAUUACCCAAUCCCGACACGGGGAGGUAGUGACAAUAAAUACUGAUACAGGGCUCUUUUGGGUCUUGUAAUCGGAAUGAGUACAAUUUAAAUCCCUUAACGAGGAACAAUUGGAGGGCAAGUCUGGUGCCAGCAGCCGCGGUAAUUCCAGCUCCAAUAGCGUAUAUUAAAGUUGUUGUGGUUAAAAAGCUCGUAGUCGAACCUUGGGCCUGGCUGGCCGGUCCCCCUCACCGGGUGCACUGAUCCAGCCGGGCCUUUCCCUCUGUGGAACCCCAUGGCCUUCACUGGCUGUGCGGGGGAAACAGGACUUUUACUGUGAAAAAAUUAGAGUGCUCCAGGCAGGCCUAUGCUCGAAUACAUUAGCAUGGAAUAAUAGAAUAGGACGUGUGGUUCUAUUUUGUUGGUUUCUAGGACCGCCGUAAUGAUUAAUAGGGACAGUCGGGGGCAUCAGUAUUCAGUUGUCAGAGGUGAAAUUCUUGGAUCUACUGAAGACUAACUACUG
rnacentral:rRNA from 1 species